rnacentral:pre_miRNA from 1 species
AGUGGGAUAGCUGGGUCAAAUGGUGGUUCCAUUCCCAGCUUUCUAAGGACUCCCCAUACUGCUUUCCAUAUUGGCUGCACCAAUUUGCAGUCCCACCAGCAAU